GUCUCGACCUCUGAGUUGUGACAUUGAUGAUAAUAUACAUAAACGAAUCUCAUUUCAAAAAUAACUUUAUUAUACAACCCAAAUCUCGUUGUCGAUCCAAUUAUAUAGCCAUCAUUAUCUUGUAGGAAGCACAUCAUACCAUUGCUACCUUUAAUAAUUUCAAAGUUUUCUACACCAAAAUGUAGAUAAGAACGUUGUUGAAAGGGCACUUACACAAAUCUCAUGCCCUCAAUGCUUCAAUGGCAGACAUAGAUCAUCUCGGGCAUCAUCUAUGCAGUUGGCGGUUUAAUUCUAUCUUAGUCCAGUUUCACAUUAGAGUAGAGAAGGGUGUCCCUCGUGAGAGGCAUCCUUAGAAGGCAGCACGACCCCAUAAGAGUAGCAAUCAAAAGGAUGAUUCCUGUGAGCCAGGCAAGGGUUGUCCUAACCAAAAUCACUUCUUGAAUAGUUGUGUUAACUUUGACUUCUUCGACCAACCAACGUGGAGUCAACCGAGGGUUAAACAUCACAUUUAAUCCUUUUUCUGCCUUUGGUGAUGAUGAUCCAGAAAAGAAAACAACUCCAACAAUUUGACCAUCAUAUGCUUUUUGGAGUAAGUGGAAUAUCUUGGACAAAGCAACGACAAAUAGUCUCGAUCUACGAUCAACAUCUCCCUCAGAAUCAAUUUCAUCCUGGAAUGCCUUGAUGCUAUCAAAAGAGCCAGUGAUGAGCUCAGAUGGACUUGGAACAUUUUGUGACAAAUCCUCAUGAAUGUGAAUAGCCCUCUUAAUAUUGUGAAAGAGACACAAAAGACUACCUAUAAAUUCUCUGUCCCCCGUCUUAGACAGAUGAAGAUUGAUCUUAACAUCAUCAGUCAGGCGCACAGUAAACUCUCCAUUUAAAGUUUUUGAUGCAUCAGCAACAUAUGAUCCACCUAUUAAAGAUGCAAACUCUUUAAUAUCUUCAUCAGUAUAAUCAGACAAUGGUUCAUUCAAAGGAACAACAGACACUUCAUCUUCACCAGGAAGUUGGAUGUCAGCACUCUCAGAACCUACAUGAACCUUGCUCGUAAGAACAUUGCUGGACAUGCCACUUUCUAGGCUUACAAUUUCAGGGUCAUAUUCUCCUUUAAUUUGAAGCAUAAAGACUGAACGAGGCCUAUCAAGCGGAU
rnacentral:misc_RNA from 1 species